rnacentral:lncRNA from 1 species
AACAAUACAUAUGGGGCAAUAAACAUAUAAAAUUUCAAAACAAAUGUUUAAUAUUCUCACAUUGGAUAACCAAUGGAAUACUAUUUAUUAAUGAUAUAAUAGAUGAAGCAGGAAAUAUAUCACAAAAGGCAGUAUUAGAUAAAUUGACCCUCAAAUCCAUCUGGAUAUCAGAACUAUCUAGAAUAAGAGCUGCAAUACCAAAAAAAUGGCAAAUGAUAAUGAAAUCAGAUAACUCGCGCAAUACUCAAGUUAAAACAGAUAAAAGGCUAUACUUAAAAACACAAAAUAAUACAAAAUUGAUCAGAUUUGAAAACCUUCCAUCAAAAGAAAUUUAUAAAAGUAUUAGCUCAUGUUAUAUACUGGAAAAAACACCAAUUGGCUUUCUAAAAUGGAAAACACAAUUAAAAUUAGAUUCAUCAAGCCAUUUGUACAAAAUGCUGAACUUUAUAUUCAAUAGUUUACAAGUAAACAAACUAAAAAUAUUCAGAUGGAAGUUAAUUCAUUAUAUACUUCCUUGUAAACAACUAUUGUACACCUGGCAUCUGAAAAAUGAUGACCAGUGCCAUAUUUGCAACCAAUUAGAAAACUAUGAACAUUUUUUCAUUUCAUGCAAAUACUUUUAAAACUUUUGGAAAAAGGUCAAAAUACUCCUUGAUAAAAUAAAAAUGGGAACACACAUAAUCACCUUCAAAAAUCUAAUACUAGGCUACAAAAUAUAUGAUAAAAAUUAUUAUGACAUUAAUCUAUUUCUCACUGUAAUAUUAUUCUCUAUUCAUAAAUCUACAUAUGCAUCAGAGUAUAAACAAAACAAUGUUGAUGUCUAUAGAAUAUUUAAAACAGAAUUUAAACAACAUUAUGAAAAUAUGAAACUUCUUGAUAAAACAACAAGUAGAUUUUUGAAUGAUGUUUAUAAAAAAAUAUAAUAACCAUAAUGUAUUAUUGCGCAUGAUCAUUCUUCUGUAUUACUAUAUAUACUAUGUAGAAAAACUCAAAUGUAAACAAAUGUAUUAUUUUAAGAUGUUUAAAUGUGACGCAUGGUCAAUGUUUACCUGUAGGACAUGAUUUUUGACCCCGUACUGUCUACUGUCUAAUUACUGGAAAAUAUCUAAUAUUUUAGGGGGAAAAAAAUCCUUCUUGAUCAAUUUAUCAUAAGUCAAUGGGAAUAUAACAAAACUCACCUUUAGAAAUACUCAAUUUAGAUCCUUUGUUCAUGAAAUCAUUCCACGUGUUAUCCUUCAAUCAUUCGAUCAUCUCAAUUUUCACGAGAUUAUGCCGAUCAAGGUUAAGGGUCAA